GAUGAACGCUGGCGGCGUACCUAAUACAUGCAAGUCGAGCGAACGGACGAGAAGCUUGCUUCUCUGAUGUUAGCGGCGGAAGGGUGAGUAACACGUGGAUAACCUACCUAUAAGACUGGGAUAACUUCGGGAAACCGGAGCUAAUACCGGAUAAUAUUUUGAACCGCAUGGUUCAAAAGUGAAAGACGGUCUUGCUGUCACUUAUAGAUGGAUCCGCGCUGCAUUAGCUAGUUGGUAAGGUAACGGCUUACCAAGGCAACGAUGCAUAGCCGACCUGAGAGGGUGAUCGGCCACACUGGGACUGAGACACGGUCCAGACUCCUACGGGAGGCAGCAGUAGGGAAUCUUCCGCAAUGGGCGAAAGCCUGACGGAGCAACGCCGCGUGAGUGAUGAAGGUCUUCGGAUCGUAAAACUCUGUUGUUAGGAAAGAACAUAUGUGUAAGUAACUGUGCACAUCUUGACGGUACCUAAUCAAAAAGCCACGGCUAACUACGUG
rnacentral:rRNA from 1 species